GUGCUUGCUUCGGAAGCACAUAUACUAACAUUGAAAUACAGAGAAGGCUAGCAUGACCUCUGUGCAAAUGACACUGAAAUUCAUGAAGUCUUCUGUAAUUUU